rnacentral:rRNA from 1 species
UACGUAGGGGGCAAGCGUUGUCCGGAUUUAUUGGGCGUAAAGAGCGUGUAGGCGGCUUGACAGGUCUGCUGUGAAAACUCGAGGCUCAACCUCGAGAUGUCGGCGGAAACCGUCUGGCUAGAGUCCGGAAGAGGAGAGUGGAAUUCCUGGUGUAGCGGUGAAAUGCGCAGAUAUCAGGAAGAACACCUAUGGCGAAGGCAGCUCUCUGGGACGGUACUGACGCUGAGACGCGAAAGCGUGGGGAGCGAUCCGG